UACGUAGGGUGCAGGCGUUUAAUCGGAAUUACUGGGCGUAAAGCGUGCGCAGGCGGUUUGCUAAGACAGGUGUGAAAUCCCCGGGCUUAACCUGGGAACUGCGCUUGUAACUGGCAAGCUGGAGUGUGGCAGAGGGGGGUGGAAUUCCACGUGUAGCAGUGAAAUGCGUAGAGAUGUGGAGGAACACCGAUGGCGAAGGCAGCCCCCUGGGCUAACACUGACGCUCAUGCACGAAAGCGUGGGGAGCAAACAGG
rnacentral:rRNA from 1 species